rnacentral:antisense_RNA from 1 species
GCUUUUCUUUCUCAUGUGCAUCAUCAUCAUCGGUGUGUGUGUAGUCGUCAAGGUUGGAGGGUGG